rnacentral:tRNA from 1 species
UAGCUCAGUGGUUAAAGCACUCAGCUGCUAACUGAAAAGUUGGUGGUUCAAACCCACC